rnacentral:rRNA from 1 species
UGGUCAAGUUAUUAAGGGUGCAGGGCGGAUGCCUUGGCACUAGGAGCCGAUGAAGGACGUGAUAAGCUGCGAUAAGCUUCGGGGAGUUGCACGUAAACUUUGAUCCGAAGAUUUCCGAAUGAGGAAACUCACUUAGAGUAAUGUCUAAGUAUCAUUAAGUGAAUACAUAGCUUAAUGAGGGGAACUCAGGGAACUGAAACAUCUAAGUACCUGAAGGAAGAGAAAGAAAUUCGAUUCCGUAAGUAGCGGCGAGCGAACGCGGAUUAGCCCAAACCAAUAAAGUUUUCUUUAUUGGGGUUGCGGACAUAUCAUAACGAAGAGGUAUCGUAAUUGAAGAGGUUUGGAAAGACCCACCACAGAAGGUAAUAGUCCUGUAUGUUAAACGAGAAGACUUUAGAUAUGAUCCAGAGUACCACGGGACACGUGAAACCCUGUGGGAAGCAGGAGGGACCACCCUCCAAGGCUAAAUACUACCUAGUGACCGAUAGCGUAUAGUACCGUGAGGGAAAGGUGAAAAGAACCCCGGGAGGGGAGUGAAAUAGAACCUGAAACCCUGCACUUACAAGCUGUGGAAGCACAUUUCUUGUGUGACCGCGUACUUUUUGUAGAACGGGCCAACGAGUUACGUUAAGUAGCAAGGUUAAGCACUUAAGGUGCGGAGCCGUAGCGAAAGCGAGUUUUAACUGAGCGUUCAGUUACUUGACGUAGACCCGAAACCGGGCGACCUACCCA